GUUCAUUUGCGCGAAUGUUGUGGCCGUGUGAGUAAGUGUGUUAGUUUGUAUCUGUAUGUUUGUGUUCCAUGGAUGAUAGAUGUUUGUGUGUGUGAACGUAUGUAUGUAUGUAUGUAUGUAUGUAUGUGUGCUAAAAUAUUACUCUGAAAUAUCUACACCGUGAUCUUAUUUGAUCUAAUCGGAGUCGUGCCUUACUCCGAUUGAGAGAUGAUAAUAACCGAAACGCUAGCCAGUUGUGGCGGUGUGCGUGGAGCAAUUCGACUAUCUUAAGGCAUUCACAACAAAGGUUGUGGUCAGAAAUGAUGAAUUGAUCAGAUAUACUAGUCCCGGCAUGAUCCUGGGUUGUAAACCCGGCGUCUCCACCGCGGACAGUGAGUAUAGAGGCGAUUCUGAUCUAA